CACAGGUCUCCGUCGAUGUUGUCAUUCACCGAUGUCCAUUUAGGAUAAGAGAGGUGGUGAAUCAGGCGGAACUUACCCAGUUCCUUCUUACGGACAACCUCCAGUGGAGAAACCCGCAAAAUGAGAAAGGGGAGGAACGUAAACGGGCCCGCCAUCCUAUCCAGCCGCACUUCCUUUCCCACCUUCUCCCACACCACAUCUUGGGAAUUCAAAGACCGAUUUCAA